AGGACGAACGCUGGCGGCGUGCUUAACACAUGCAAGUCGAGCGGAAAGGCCCUUCGGGGUACUCGAGCGGCGAACGGGUGAGUAACACGUGAGUAACCUGCCCCUAGCUCUGGGAUAGCUCCGGGAAACCGGGAUUAAUACCAGAUACGACCACUUUAGACAUCUGUCGUGGUGGAAAGGAUUCCGGCUAGGGAUGGGCUCGCGGCCUAUCAGCUUGUUGGUGGGGUAACGGCCUACCAAGGCGACGACGGUAGCCGGCCUGAGAGGGCGACCGGCCGACACUGGGACUGAGACACGGCCCAGACUCCUACGGGAGGCAGCAGUGGGGAAUAUUGCGCAAUGGGCGAAAGCCUGACGCAGCGACGCCGCGUGGGGGAUGAAGGCCUUCGGGUUGUAAACCCCUUUCAGCAGGGACGAAGCGAAAGUGACGGUACCUGCAGAAGAAGCGCCGGCUAACUACGCGCCAGCAGCCGC
rnacentral:rRNA from 1 species